UUCUCAAGAUUAUUGAUUAUUUCUGGGAAAUUCUAGUGGGCUUAUUAUUUUCUCCUUGGUAGUUUCUAAUUGGUAUUAAUCACACAUUUGAUAUAGGAAAUGAAAACAUCAUUUAUGUUUCCUCGGGAAGUGAAGUCAAGAGCUUUGAUGUCCAUCUGUUUGUAGGUAAUUUAUUUUGCAGGCCUUCUCUUGGAAGCCGUUGGAGACUUAUGAAUAUAAUAAGGAUGAGAUAAAUCAGAUUGCUUGCAACUUCAAGUCUUCUUUGCUUACAGCUGCAGAUGAUGGUGGCAAGGUUCUUACCAUCUAUUUCAUAGAUAAUUUUCUAUCAUAGACAUUAGCCAGAAAUGUCUCUAUAAAACAUUGAGAGCUGGCCAUCAGGUUCUUUCUCAUCUCUUGCUAUAUUUUUUGUUUAUAUGUAUUUCUUUUUUCUCAAUUUAAAUGUGAAUGAGCGAGCAAUAUCAUUGAAAAUAGAAAACAAAGACAACGAGGAUAUUAAGCUCGACCUUGAUCACCACCGGUUCUGGACCUUGCCCAGAGCUCGAUAACAAGAACAUUGUAUUCGAUUUGUUAUUAUUAUUUUUUUUAUUAUUAAGAUGGGAUUAUGUGCUGGCUGUUGAUGUAUAUAUAUGCAUGAAAUGAAUGGGCAACAUUUUCUUUAAGGAAAGAUAAAAGGUUCUUUCUAGAUUAAGGAAUAGAUUCAAGUUGAUAAGGGGAAUCGGUCUUGUGUGUUUUGUGAAAGUUUGGGAGUUGAAAAGGGCAUAUUGUUUGUUGAUAGAAUAGCUCCUGAAGAAUAGCUCAAUCAGUUCUGUAAAUUGAUUGCCCGCACACAAUAUUUUAUCCAGGACGUUAACCUCCUCUUUGAAAUCGCCUCCUAAAAUUGCUCUUUUUCUCCAUCUCCUGAAAUAGAAAUUGAAAUUGAUAAAUGAAUUUCUCAUUUAGAAUGGAUUUUCAAUUUUUAAUUUUUUAACACUCAAAUGAGAAAUUGCAUCACCACUGGCCUCUGCCCAAUCUCUUCACCACACUCCGGUCUGAUGGUCUUCCCUCUCGCGCUCUCAGUCUCAAUCUCAUUCUUAAUCGCUACUUUCUGAUCGAAAGAAUCCAAAAACUGUGGCAUUUUGAAAUCGACUCAUCUUAUUCUCUGCCCGAGUCUCCUUCAAAACCCCACUUAGUGAGAGAAGCUUUUCUCAGAAGCUAGAGAGAGAAACAAAAUCAACAGAGUAGAGAGAGAGAGCUUCAAAACCCAUAACUCUUUCUCUCUUCUUUCUCUCGAGCCCCCUAUCUCUGGUUUCCCUCUCUCUUUCUCUCUCCCGAGCCCCUAUCUCUGGUAUAUUUUAUGUCCGAAUUAUUUAUCAAUUUCUAUAUAUAUUCAUGUAUCAGAAGAUGGUUGUGUGUGCUGAUUUGAUAUGCGGUGCAAAGAUGUGGUGAACACCAUGGAAGUGGGGAACGAAGCGAUCUCAUCCAUUUGUUUAAGUCUGGAAAUGAAAACAUCAUUUAUGUUUCCUCGGGAAGUGAAGUCAAGAGCUUUGAUGUCCAUCUGGCCUUCUCUUGGAAGCCGUUGGAGACUUAUGAAUAUAAUAAGGAUGAGAUAAAUCAGAUUGCUUGCAACUUCAAGUCUUCUUUGCUUACAGCUGCAGAUGAUGGUGGCAAGAUCAUAGACAUUAGCCAGAAAUGUCUCUAUAAAACAUUGAGAGCUGGCCAUCAGGUAAGAGCAAUCCAUACUCAAAUGGUGAGAUGAAUUUUUUGCGUGAUCAGUAGAUUGAAUUCGUCUGAACACAGGACAAGAGCUAUUAUCAUGAUCAAUUUCUGUUUUUGUUUAUAUUUUACACUAUAACCAAUUACUUUCAUAUAAAGUAAGCUUGAGUACGUAGUUUGUA